rnacentral:rRNA from 1 species
GACGUAGGGCGCGAGCGUUGUCCGGAUUUAUUGGGCGUAAAGAGCUCGUAGGCGGCUUGUCGCGUCGACUGUGAAAUCCCGCGGCUCAACUGCGGGUCUGCAGCCGAUACGGGCAGGCUAGAGUUCGGUAGGGGAGACUGGAAUUCCUGGUGUAGCGGUGAAAUGCGCAGAUAUCAGGAGGAACACCGGUGGCGAAGGCGGGUCUCUGGGCCGAUAUUGACGCUGAGGAGCGAAAGCGUGGGGAGCGAACAGG